UUAUGAUAUUGCUUCCUCUAUCUAGGCUAAUGGUUUCUUUGGCGCUAAAGGUGUUGCUGGUAGUUUACCUGCUGCAUAUACACAUAUAUCCAAACACUUCUACUCAAGGGUAUGUCGUAGUAAUCAAGAAAAUAGAAUUAAAAUUUUUGAAUAUUUCAGAAAUUGUUGGACAUUUCACGGCAAAGGUCUCUGGUACAACUUAAGAAAUGAAUCACUGCCAUCACUCACUUUAUUGGGAUCUCCUAACUUUGGACAUCGAUCUGUCAAACGUGACUUGGAAGUACAGUUAGCAGUAGUAACAACCAAUGAAGGCUUGAGAAGACAACUAUAUGAUGAACAGAAGAGUUUAUAUGGAAGGAGCAACAAUGUUACGAAAGAGACAUUUGAGAAACCAGAGAGAUAUGUGAAAUACUGGGAGAGAAUAGUGACUUGGUUCAUCUGGAAGCAUCUAUAAUGUAACAAUUCACAAUUAUUUAACUUGCCAUAUUAGAUAUGAAAACAGUGUUCAUAUCACUGAGCACCAAAAUGUUACAUUAUCCAUAUAACAAUUGUAUGCAUGCUGGAAACAAAAUAAAAAAAGCUCAAGGCCCCCCCCC